rnacentral:rRNA from 1 species
GAGAAAGAGAACAAGAGCGAACGGAGGAUGCCUUGGCUUCCAGAAGCGAUGAAGGACGUGGUAAGCUGCGAAAAGCUCCGGGGAUCUGCAAACAGGAAUUGAUCCGGAGAUGUCCGAAUGGGGUAACCCGGCUGGUUGAAGACCAGUCACCAACUUUUAGUUGGCGCAUACGCAGGGAACUGAAACAUCUUAGUACCUGCAGGAAAAGAAAGAAAUAUCGAUUCCCAAAGUAGUGGCGAUCGAAAUGGGAAGAGCCUAAACCGGUGUCGUUACGGCGAUGUCGGGGUUGUAGGACCAGUCAAAGGACGACGACGAGGAACCGGAACCGUCUGGAAAGUCGGUCCGCAGAGGGUGAAAGGCCCGUACGGGUAACGAGGUCGUCUCAGGAGUGCCACCUGAGUAGGGCGGGACA